UACGUAGGCAGCAAGCGUUGUUCGGAGUUACUGGGCGUAAAGGGUGUGUAGGCGGUUGUUUAAGUUUGGCGUGAAAUCUCCCGGCUCAACUGGGAGGGUGCGCCGAAUACUGAAUGACUCGAGUGCGGGAGAGGAAAGUGGAAUUCCUGGUGUAGCGGUGAAAUGCGUAGAUAUCAGGAGGAACACCGGUGGUGUAGACGGCUUUCUGGACCGUAACUGACGCUGAGACACGAAAGCGUGGGUAGCAAACAGG
rnacentral:rRNA from 1 species